rnacentral:lncRNA from 1 species
GCCAACCAACCAAGAUGGCCGCCAUGGCUAAAAAUAGAACAUGGGGGUAAAAUGUGGAUUUUGGCUCAUAUCUCUGGAACAAAAGCAUUUACAGCAAAUCUGACGAGUGGUAAAAUUGUUCAUAAGGUCAAGAUCUAUCUACCCUGAAAAUUUCAGAUAAAUCAGACAACCAGUUGUGGGGUUGCUGCCCCUGAAUUGGUAAUUUUAAGGAAAUUUCGCUGUUUUCGGUUAUAACUUGAAUAUUAUUAUAGUUAGAGAUAAACUGUAAACA